AAUCCCAUUUUUUCUCUUUUUGUUAGUAUGACAGUUAUUAUUGAUUAUUAAUGUGGAAAUUAAUUGCUCAGUUAACCAUAGCGCCGUGCUGCUGCUGGGUGUUGUAUCGCCGAUGGCUGGGUGUACCACGAGGUUACUGAUGUCUCCUGGGUAUGGUGGAUACUAAGCAUCAGCAGCGAAAGAAUUUUUCACCCCUUCGCCGCCUUUCUACACAACAAUCUCAACAUACGGAACACCUACUUACUAAACAGAGGCCACCAAAUUACUACACCACCUAGGCUCCAGAGUAUUGCAAGAAGUAUUACUCUGCCCCGAACUACUACACCGAUGCCCCCGAAGUAUUAGUCUGCCUUGAUUUACAUCACCAAGGUGCCUGAACUGAAUGAACUGAUUCUCCUAAGUACACCACUAAAGCUCCAGACUACUACACCGAGGCUGCAGCCUUUUACACCACCAAAUAGGUCGAAUACUACACCGAAGCGCGCCUAAGUGCUACACUGCAACCUGCGCUACCCUAGCUUACACCACCAAGGCGCUGGAGUGUUACAUUAUCAAGACACGUUCGCAAUCAUUGCAACUUACGCAGCGACCAGUUACUGCGCCGAGGCCUUUAAGUACUACACCACCAAGGCACUGGAGUAUUGUGCCACAACUUACGCUGCUCCCAGCUACUACACCGACGCCCCGAAGUAUCACUCUGCCCCGACCCGACCUACACCACAUAGGCCGAGUACUACACGACUACGUGUACUGCCCCAUCUUAUUAAACCACCAAGGCCGAGUACUACACGACUACGUAUGCUGCCUAUUACACCGAGGCUCCCAAGUACUACUCUGUACUCAUCUACUUACUACACCGAUGUAUAAAGUAGUACUACUCUGUUCCCAGCUACAACAACGAGGCUCCAGCUGAUUACUAAACCAAAACGGUUGAAAACUACACCAAAGCGCUCAAGAACUACUCUGCCCCGAUCUACACAACCACAAAUUAGGCGGUCAAGUAUUACGCAGCACUAACUUACUACACAGAAGCUGCCUUUUCGUACUACGAUGAACAGAAAUAUCACACUGAUGCUCCAGUUUGCUACACCGCUACCUAUGCUACACCUAGCUACAACACCGAAGCUCCCAAGUACUACACCGAAGAAGCCGCAUAUCACACAAGUCAACCACGUUCGCCGCCCCGGUUUACUUCACCGAGGAACUCAAGUAUUACUCUGCCCCAAGCUACUACCAAACUAAGGCUCAUAAGUACUACACCAGUACACCAGCAUCCUGAUUAUUACAUCACUACUUACGUAGCUCCGACCUAUACACCGAAGUUCCAAAGUAUUCCUAUGCCCCGAGUUACUAAAUUACUAGAGCACCAGUAUAUUACACCACAACUUUUCUUCUUCGGUAAUUUUUUGUUUUCAUCCAGCAUUUACAUUGAAGCUAAAGAUAAUUAAUGAUUUCACUUCAUUUUGUUUCUAGUUUACUGUUCUGAUAGUUGCAGUCAUGAAAUGUGUUAUUGCAUCAUAUGUUGGUGAAAGAUUUAUGAGCAUCAAAUUUAAUUCUG